GGAUAACAUGCCCUUAAGUGGAGGAUAAUCUCGGGAAAUUGAGGAUAAUACUCCAUAAAUCACAGGAUCUGGAACGACCUGUGGUUGAAAGUUCCGGCGCUCGAGGAUUGGUCUGCGGCCUAUCAGGUAGUAGUGGGUGUAAUGGACCCACUAGCCUAUGACGGGUAUGGGCCUUGAGAGAGGGAGCCCAGAGUUGGAUUCUGAGACACGAAUCCAGGCCCUACGGGGCGCAGCAGUCGCGAAAACUUCACAAUGGGGGCAACCCCGAUGAGGGAAUUCCUAGUGCUAGCACAUUUGUGUUAGCUUUUCUUUAGCUUAGAAAACUAGAGGAAUAAGGGCUGGGUAAGACGGGUGCCAGCCGCCGCGGUAAUACCUGCAGCCCAAGUGGUGGUCGAUUUUAUUGAGUCUAAAACGUUCGUAGCCGGUUCGGUAAAUCUUUGGGUAAAUCGGGGGGCUUAACCUCCCGACUUCCGAGGAGACUGCCGAACUUGGGACCGGGAGAGGCUAGAGGUACUUCUGGGGUAGGGGUAAAAUCCUGUAAUCCUAGAAGGACCACCGGUGGCGAAGGCGUCUAGCUAGAACGGAUCCGACGGUGAGGGACGAAGCCCUGGGUCGCAAACGGGAUUAGAUACCCCGGUAGUCCAGGGUGUAAACGCUGCAGACUUGGUGUUGGAGGCCCUUUGGGGGCAUCCAGUGCCGGAGAGAAGUUGUUAAGUCUGCUACUUGGGGAGUACGUCCGCAAGGAUGAAACUUAAAGGAAUUGGCGGGGGAGCACCGCAACGGGAGGAGCGUGCGGUUUAAUUGGAUUCAACACCGUAAAACUCACCAGCAGCGACUGUUACAUGAAAGUCAGGCGAUGACCUUACUAGAUUUUCAGAGAGGUGGUGCAUGGC
rnacentral:rRNA from 1 species